rnacentral:rRNA from 1 species
UACGGAGGGGGCUAGCGUUGUUCGGAAUUACUGGGCGUAAAGCGCGCGUAGGCGGACCUGCAAGUCGGGGGUGAAAGCCCGAGGCUCAACCUCGGAACUGCCUUCGAUACUGCGGGUCUCGAGUCCGGAAGAGGAGAGUGGAAUUCCUGGUGUAGCGGUGAAAUGCGCAGAUAUCAGGAAGAACACCCGUGGCUAAGGCGGCUCUCUAGUACGGUACUGACGCUGAGACGCGAAAGCGUGGGGAGCGAACAGG